CGGGACGGGUGAGUAACGUGUGGGCAACCCUGCCCUGCACUGGGGAAUAAUCAUUGGAAACGAUGACUAAUACCGCAUACGGUUCCUGGAGGCAUCUUCCGGGAAAGAAAGGAUUUAUUCGGUGCAGGAUGGGCCCGCAUCUGAUUAGCUAGUUGGUGAGAUAACAGCCCACCAAGGCGACGAUCAGUAGCCGACCUGAGAGGGUGACCGGCCACAUUGGGACUGAGACACGGCCCAAACUCCUACGGGAGGCAGCAG
rnacentral:rRNA from 1 species